AACGGUAACAGGSCGCAAGGKGSUGACGAGUGGCGAACGGGUGAGUAAUGSAUCGGAACGUGSCCGGKCGUGGGUGAUAACACUUCGAAAGAAGUGSUAAUACCGCAUACGAUCUGAGGAUGAAAGCGGGGGACCGUAAGGSCUCGCGCGAUCGGAGCGGCCGAUGUCAGAUUAGGUAGUUGGKGGGGUAAAGGSUCACCAAGCCAACGAUCUGKAGCUGGUCUGAGAGGACGACCAGCCACACUGGGACUGAGACACGGCCCAGACUCCUACGGGAGGSAGCAGUGGGGAAUUUUGGACAAUGGGCGCAAGCCUGAUCCAGCAAUGCCGCGUGCAGGAAGAAGGSCUUCGGGUUGUAAACUGSUUUUGUACGGAACGAAACGGUCCGGGUUAAUACCCUGGGCUAAUGACGGUACCGUAAGAAUAAGCACCGGCUAACUACGUGCCAGCAGCCGCGGUAAUACGUAGGGUGCAAGCGUUAAUCGGAAUUACUGGGCGUAAAGCGUGCGCAGGCGGUUUUGUAAGACAGGCGUGAAAUCCCCGGGCUCAACCUGGGAAUUGCGCUUGUGACUGCAACGCUGGAGUGCGGCAGAGGGGGAUGGAAUUCCGCGUGUAGCAGUGAAAUGCGUAGAUAUGCGGAGGAACACCGAUGGCGAAGCAAUCCCCUGGGCCUGCACUGAC
rnacentral:rRNA from 1 species